rnacentral:lncRNA from 1 species
AGAGAAGGAAAAGUCAAAGCCCGAAGUGAUUUCCAGUCCACGUUGGCUUCUUGCCGUUUUCACUCACUGGACCUGCCCAGCGGCUGUUCAUGCUUCUUAAGAAAAGUUGAUCUUCUUGGAAUAAUCACCAGUUUGGCUUCUCAGAGUUCAGCCUGGCCUGGAAGAGGCACCUGAAGAGCCAGAAAUUAUACAUGCCUGUGGUUCUUCAAGUCACUUCUAGCCAUAACAGCAUGGAUUUCUUGGGCUCCUUUGCUUUUGGAUGGACCGGAUGUCUGCUAUGCAGUUCUCAUACACCUUAAGAACACUCCAGAAGGAGAGCCAUGGGCUUUAUUCCACUGAAGGAAGGAAAAAUCUGAGACAUGAACCUCAGCAGGAAUCUGCCCAAUACACCGAGUUCCAGCCCAGUUGGAGGCAAGGCUAGCUUAGAGUCAACAUGUAUUUUCUGGAUUCUAUUGAGUUCUAAGUUAGAUGAAGAAGGAGGAGUGAGCACACACACACACACACACACACACACACACACACAUGCUUGAGUUAGCCUGCUGAGAGGUGGUAUGCAUUGCUUCUGUCUAGAACCCAGCGACAUAAUCAACGCAAUUGCAGAGUAGAUCGGGAAAUGCUGAAAUGCACAGAAAUAUGGGUGAACACUGAUGAUCUCUGGCAUACGCACUUAGCCGUGGGCCUCAGAGAAAUCACCCCGUUCUCUCCUCCUUUUCCCUAAAAUGGGGGCAAUAUCCCCUAGCUUCUGGAAUUCUCAGGAGGGUUAAAUAAGAUAAUGCACCGGAAGGAACCUACCAGUACAGUGCCAGGCACAGAGCAGAGGCUAAAGCAACACCCCCCUUGCUUUUCAAUCCCACCCUUCCUCCCUGUUAGCUGUUCCUGAGAGCCCAUGGGAAAAGAGGAAGCAGGAUGGUCCACAUAUGGUUUUAAUUGGAUAAAUCAGGAGGUGAGGAGAUGCCAUUUGCAUUCUUUUCUGAUCUUCUCAAGGCGAAUGAGUAAUAGCUGGCUGUUUGGAAAGAAACUAUUAGCCUAUGUUGAGCCCUUCCUGAUGGCUUUGAUGGCCGUGUUUCUAGGAUCUGUUGGAAAGGACAAAGGCACAGAAUGGUACUGCCAUGACAUCUGGGCACUACCAUCCAAAGCCAUAGCAGUUUGCUGGGUUGUUCUUGUAAGCUGAACAGAGAGAAAAGCAUGCUGUGUGCUCCCCAAAUUAUUAACACAGGUUCUGGGAGCUGACACAAUUAUAGUCUGCUUACUGGAUAAGCCGAAGGUGGGUGGAGGUUGUGCAUACAGAUGGCUCUGUCUCUCUGACUCAUGUCUCAAAGGUGUUGACACCUAGGGCCCAGCUUUGGGAAAUGCUCUAUUUGGAAAGGGUUGGCCGAUGGCCUAGGCUAUGUUCUCAUCAUCUAGAAUAUGUUAGAAAAGUCAGUCAGAUGGAAAUUCUGGCCUUCCUCUCCUUAGGGACUGUCAUCCCCUAAUUCCCAUACCCCAUUUAUGCUAGCUGCUAUGAAUUGCUUUUUCUCUGCAACCUCUUGAUAAUUUAGGUUUACAUCUUUAGGAUUUUUUUAAAGGUCCAAUGUAAGGCAGUUGUGGAAAUCAGUAUGGGUCCAAUGCCUUAAAAAAAAUACCACAUUAAAGUAGUAAACACUUGAGCUGCAAAUAAUAGUAACUGUGGUUUCAAAAUUAAAGGCAUUGAUUGUUUUACAAGGACGCCUAGAGGAUAGUAGUGCAGGACUGGUUCAGUACUCAAUAAUGACCCCCAAAUCUAUGCUUUCUUUAACCUUUCUACAUUUCCUUAGCUUACCUUGUUGGCCUUUCACCCUCGUGGAUGUUGUCACAUGGUCACAAAACAGCUUCUGUAGCUCCAGGCAUCACAUCAGCAUUCAGGGCAAGAAGAAGGAAGAAAUUAAUAGUACUAGUUCUAUCUGUCCCUUUUAUCAGGACAGACAGCAAAAGCCAGCCUUAAAAUACAGAUCAGGAUAAACAAUUGUUUUCAGCUAAUGCAAUCAAACUUUAGUUCCAAAUUCUUGAGUUUCUCUUCAUGUUUCUGGAAUCAGUCUCUUUUCCCUUACUUCCCUGUGGAAGCAACCCUAGACUAUAGGCUAGGGUUGUAUUUUCCUACUUUCCUCUGGCAUAUCUCUUAAAGACGGAAAAAGAGACAUUCAAAGAUGAGAGGGAGAGACAGACAGACAGAGACAGAUGACAGAGGGGAAAGAGAGGGAAUUAUGCAGGAUAUAGAGAAAGCUAUUUUGAUCUAUUUCAGUCGAUUUACUUUUUUUGUGUGUUUGUUUUAUUCCCCACCCCUAUCUUUAACAUCACCUGCGGUGAUUAUACCUGCUUUCCCAGUGAGGCCCUGUCCCUCAGUCAUUGAUAGUAUAAUUUCAGAUUCUCAAGUGGUGAUGCAAGAAUGCCCAGCGUUGAGAAGGUGGCUGGAUAAUCAAGCUUCUUGCUAAAUUUGAGUGGAGCAAAAAAUGAAAACUGUUAUAGAAAAUUUUUUCUUUUUAACAAAACUCUCUAGGAAGGGAUCUGGUAUUUAGACAGAAGAGUUUUCAUGCCUGCUUUAGCAUUUUAUUUAUUUGUAAAUAAAAACUGACUUUAGACACCAGUUCAUUCAAACAUUAAAACAAUUGAUUC